UACGACGGGGGCUAGCGUUGUUCGGAAUUACUGGGCGUAAAGCGUGCGCAGGCGGCUUCUCAAGUCAGGGGUGAAAGCCCAGAGCUCAACUCUGGAAUUGCCUUUGAGACUGAGUGGCUUGAGUACGAGAGAGGUGAGUGGAAUUCCUGGUGUAGCGGUGAAAUGCGCAGAUAUCAGGAAGAACACCCGUGGCGAAAGCGGCUCUCUGGAACGGUACUGACGCUGAGACGCGAAAGCGUGGGGAGCGAACAGG
rnacentral:rRNA from 1 species